CAUUGGGUCGAUUUAAAAAAAGCAAAAAAAUAAAUUAAAAGAUAGAAUUUUUAAAAUCGGGAUAAUAUCGUAUUUCAUAAUUAAAUUAUGUCCUUUGGCUCACUUCUUGAAACUAUUGUUCUAACUUAAUUCCCAAAGUCCUUAUAAAUAGGCAUUUGCAACAUGCUUACUUCAACAUUAAAAAACAAAAUGGCAUCCUACAAGACUCUCAUUUUAACCAUUUUGAUCAUUUGCAUUGCUUCAGGCAUGGUUGCCGUUUCAGGAGCAAACGGAAAAUUAUGCUUCGCAUCAAAUUUUUGUCCAACUUCACCAGAACAGUGUGACCAUUUUUGUAAAGCAUCAUUGGGCAAACCAAAAGGUGGCUCGUGUUUAGGGGGUGAAUGUUGUUGCAAUUUGGAAAGUUUGAAUAUAAAAUAAACAUUUACGUUGUUUCUUUGAAUA